UACAGAGGGUGCGAGCGUUGUCCGGAAUCACUGGGCGUAAAGGGCGCGUAGGCGGCUCGGUAAGGUUGCGGUGAAAGCCCGGGGCUCAACCCCGGGUCGGCCGUGGCAACUGCUGAGCUAGAGCACUGUAGAGGCAGGUGGAAUUCCGGGUGUAGCGGUGGAAUGCGUAGAGAUCCGGAAGAACACCGGUGGCGAAGGCGGCCUGCUGGGCAGUGGCUGACGCUGAUGCGCGACAGCGUGGGGAGCAAACAGG
rnacentral:rRNA from 1 species